GAUGAACGCUAGCGGCAGGCUUAGCACAUGCAAGUCGAGGGGUAUAGGUUUUCGGACCUAGAGACCGGCGCACGGGUGCGUAACGCGUAUGCAAUCUACCUUUCACAGAGGGAUAGCCCAGAGAAAUUUGGAUUAAUACCUCAUAGUAUAGCAGUUUCGCAUGAAACCACUAUUAAAGUAUCAACGGUGAAAGAUGAGCAUGCGUCCCAUUAGCUAGAUGGUAAGGUAACGGCUUACCAUGGCUACGAUGGGUAGGGGUCCUGAGAGGGAGAUCCCCCACACUGGUACUGAGACACGGACCAGACUCCUACGGGAGGCAGCAGUGAGGAAUAUUGGCCAAUGGACGCAAGUCUGAACCAGCCAUGCCGCGUGCAGGAUGACGGUCCUAUGGAUUGUAAACUGCUUUUGUACGAGAAGAAACAACAUUACGUGUAAUGUCUUGACGGUAUCGUAAGAAUAAGGAUCGGCUAACUCCGUGCCAGCCGCCGCAGUAACAC
rnacentral:rRNA from 1 species